UACAAGCUGCGUUGUACGUAACGAUAAUUAAGUUUUAACCUUUAAGUUGUAACAGGGAGUUUUAUUAUCAAAGCAGGAAUGUCAGGCCUCUACAGUAAAUGUACUGAGGACAUACAGGAUUGCUUUUGCGAGCACCCACUUUUUGACAAAGUGGUCUAAAACUUUCUUACACUAUUUACGGCAAAGGCGGCUUCUAC
rnacentral:other from 1 species